UACGUAGGUGGCAAGCGUUGUCCGGAUUUAUUGGGUUUAAAGGGUGCGUAGGCGGCUUAAUAAGUCAGUGGUGAAAGCCGAUCGCUUAACGAUCGAACUGCCAUUGAUACUGCUAGGCUUGAGUAUAGAUGAGGUAGGCGGAAUUGACAGUGUAGCGGUGAAAUGCAUAGAUAUUGUCAAGAACACCAAUUGCGAAGGCAGCUUACUAAGUUAUAACUGACGCUGAGGCACGAAAGUGCGGGGAUCAAAACAGG
rnacentral:rRNA from 1 species